rnacentral:rRNA from 1 species
GCGAGUAAGGGUCCAUAGAGGAUGCCUUGGUGCUAUCCGACGAUGAAGGCCGUGGUAAGCUGCGAAAAGCUUGGGCGAGGAGCAAACAUCCUUUGAGUCCGAGAUUGCCGAAUGGGGUAACCCGGCAGCUAUAUUAGCUGUCAUCUCUUAGCUGAACACAUAGGCUUUGAGAAGUGAGACGCAGGGAACUGAACCAUCUAAGUACCUGCAGGAAAAGAAAUCAACCGAGAUUCCCUCAGUAGCGGCGAGCGAAGAGGGAUUAGCCCAAACCAGAGAUGCUUCGGCAUAUUUGGGGUUGUAGGGCUUCCGUUGGAGUUACAAAACGAUCAGCUAGCAGAACACUCUGGAAAGUGUGGCCAAAGUGGGUGAUAGCCCUGUAAGCGAAAGCAGAUCGACUCUUAGGAAGUACCUGAGUACAGCGAGGCACGUGAAACCUUGUUGGAAUCUGGGGGGACCACCCUCCAAGGCUAAAUACGAGAUAGCAACCGAUAGUGUACGAGUACCGUGAGGGAAGUGGUGAAAAGAACCCCGGAAGGGGAGUGAAAUAGAACCUGAAACUAUGGAUCUACAAGCGGUAGGAGCGGUGCACUAGUGUGCUGCGACUGCGUGCCUUUUGCAGAAUGAGCCUGCGAGUUACCCUGCGUAGCGAGGUUAAGGCACAGAAGUGCUGGAGCCGGAGGGAAACCGAGUCUGAAUAGGGCGUUGAGUUGCGUGGGGUAGACCCGAAACUGAGUGAUCUACUCAUGGCCAGAUUGAAGCUUGGGUAAUGCCAAGUGGAGGAUCGAACACUAGUCUGUUAAAAAAGGCAGUGAUGAGCUGUGAGUCGGAGUGAAAGGCUAAUCAAACUCAGAAAUAGCUGGUUCUCCCCGAAAUGGUUUUAGGAUCAGCCUCAUAUGUUUUUCAGCGGAGGUAGAGCACUGGUUAGGCUAGGGCGGGUCAAACUGUACCAAACUUAGUCAAACUCCGAAUGCCGCUGUUUUAUAGUAUGGGAGUGAGACUACGGGUGAUAAGAUUCGUGGUCAAAAGGGAAACAGCCCAGAGCGACAGCUAAGGUCCCUAAACUGUGUUAAGUGGAAAAGGAAGUGUGGUGGCCCAGACAGCCAGGAGGUUGGCUUAGAAGCAGCCAUUCCUUGAAAGAGUGCGUAAUAGCUCACUGGUCGAGUCGUCAUGCGCCGAUAAUGUAACGGGGCUAAACACAGUACCGAAGCUUCGCCUGUCGUAUUUAUACGGCGGGGUAGGGGAGUGUUGCGUAAGCCGUAGAAGCAAUGGUGAGAACCUAUGUGGAGGUAUCGCAAGUAAGCAUGCAGGCAUGAGUAACGAAAAAAUAGGUGAGAUACCUAUUCGCCGAAAGCUCGAGGUUUCCUGGGUAAAGUUUGUCUUCCCAGGGUUAGACGGCCCCUAAGGUCAGGCCGAAAGGCGUAGCCGAUGGGAAACUGGUUAAUAUUCCAGUUCUUCUGAUAAUUUCGAUGGAGUGACGCAUUAGGAAAGCUAUAUCGGGGCGUUGGUAGUCCCCGUCCGAAUCACGAGGUGUUGAUAGUUUUAGGCAAAUCCGGAACUUGAGCUGAGUGAGAGGCGAUUGAAGCUACGGCGGAGAGAAGUAUAGGGAUUCACGGUGCCAAGAAAGAGCUUCUAAGGCUAGGUUAUCAGGAACCGUACCGCAAACCGACACAGGUGGGCGAGACUAGUAAUCUAAGGCGUACGGGAGAACUCGCGUUAAGGAACUCGGCAAAUUGCAUACGUAACUUCGGAAAAAGUAUGGCCUAACACAUAAUGGUGAGGUUGCAGAGUCCAAGUGGAAGCGACUGUUUAUCAAAAACACAUGUCUCUGCUAACUCGUAAGAGGAUGUAUAGGGACUGACACCUGCCCGGUGCCGGUAGGUUAAGAGGAGCGGUUAGCGUAAGCGAAGCUGCGAAUUGAAGCCCCGGUAAACGGCGGCAAUAACAAUAAUUGUCCUAAGGUAGCGAAAUUCCUUGUCGGGUAAGUUCCGACCUGCACGAAUGGUGUAACGACUUCCACACUGUCUCAACGCGAGACCCGGUGA